UUUUUUUUUUCUUUUUUUCAUUUCAUUUUUCAAUAACACUUUCAGGUUCCAAAGAGGGUAAUCGAAGAAUGGGAGUCGGCUCAAAGGGUUUGCAAAGGGUUGAUAGUAUUUGGAUAGCGAGAAUGAAAGCCUUCGUCAUCCCAGUCGGAGAAUAUUAGUACUAUAUGUAGGAUCCAACAUAGUACCUUUUAACUGCAUUUGCAUUGAUAAUUAUUUUAGGGACAUUUCCUUCGAUGUGUCCCAUGUACAACGCAUUCUUUUGGCAGUAUUCUUGUUGCAAUGUAUGGACCUUUCCAAUCCGGGAACCAAUUUUCCUUCCGUUGUUACAACACUUUGUUUUAUUUCUUUAAACUUUAUCUUCAUUGCGAUCUAAUUCUUGAUUCAUUACUUCGAGCUCUGUCAGCUUUUCAGGAUCUAGGCAUGAAGUCCGCAAGCAUGUCAUGUUAUUAAAAUCUGCAUUUAAUAGAACUAAAAUAAAAUUGAGAAAAAUGACAAGAUUAAGAAAAAAGACAUUCUUGGACAAUGAAAUAUUAAUUUCAUUUGAUUUUUGAUUUUUGUUUUCAAUUUUUGAAGAUAGAAGGGUUUACACGGAAAGUAAGACAAUAAAGUAAAAUAUCCGGAUCACACCUGAGAUAAUCCAGACGCAGAAAGGAUAGCAAGAUUGGCUACUAAGACUCCCGUCUGAUGAGGAACUUUCAUGUUUGGUGACCAUUUUUUGGCUUUUUUUCUGUCUCGGCAAUGGCUGCAAUGUCCUUCAGCACCAGAUCAAAUUCCUCAUCUUCACAUCAAGAGCUUCUUCAUCCUGAAAAACAAUUCUCUCAGCUUCAACCAAAUCUUCAACAACCAUUUUGAGGGUCCAACAGCCCUCUGUACUGUGUCCCACUGCUCCAGAGUGGUAUUCACAUCUAGCAUUGGCUCGGUGCGAGGGGGACUCGGGGUUCGGCCGGCUCGGGGCCACUGGCUACAAUCGAUCUAUCUUGAUUAGCUUUUGGAACAAGCUUGAAUACGAUUCAUGAAUAGGGAUGAACUAAUUCUUUCUGAAAGGCUCUCUUGGGCGAGGAUCAUAUUGGGGAUCAUUUGGUUGAAGAUUAUAUGGAGCUUGGUAAGGAUGGACAUUUCUGGGAGGUGGAGCUCGAUUUCGUGUAUAAUAUUGCGGUCGCGGGUAAGGUUGCGCGUUCAUCACUGCAUAGGAAGGUGGUGCCAUGGAAUAAGUAGCAUCUUGAAGGGGAUAAUAGUGUGGUGGGGUGAUAAGAGGCACACAUGAUUGGUUGAAUGACCUGCGGGCCCUUCUCGAGCUUGAAACCAUCAUGGCUCCCUUUUCACUCUCAUUUCUAUUCAUCAAACCCUCCGAACCAUUCUGAGCAGACUGUGAUAUGGCCUUAAAAGCAGCAUGACUCAAGAUUCGACCUGUUUUUAAACCAUUUUCAACCAUUUCCCCAAUGUUGAUAGCCUCAGCGAACGACUUACCUACAAUAGACAUCAUGUUUUGGAAGUAGUCAGCCUCUUGGGCCUGCAGAAAGAUCGUGACCAUUUCAAUUUCGUCCAUUGGUGGCUUUACCCUGGCAGGUUGCUCAUGCCAUUUGACGGCAUAUUCGCGGAAGCUUUCCGCGGUUUUUGUUUUCAAAUUGGACAAAGAGUUUCUGUCGGGAACGAUGUCCACAUUAUAUUGGAACUGGCUGACAAAAUCUCAAUCCAUAUCAUCCCACACAUGCCAAUGGGUAAUUUCUUGAUCCGUAUACAACUUAGAAGCAAUUCCGGAGAGGCUUUCCCCAAAAAAGGCAUUAGCAGCUCCUCUUUUCCAUCAGCACCCCUCAACUGGUUACAAUAUCAUUUCAGAUGAGCGGUCGAGUCUCCGUGCCUCUCGUACUUUUCAAAUUUUUGCAUUUUAAAGCCAGUUGGCAAGUGGACAUAGGGAAACGUACAGAGGUCAGAGUAUGAGACACUCUUUUGGCCACUCAGACCUUGCAUGUUUUUCAGGAUUUGUUCCAGGCCCUUCAUCUUCUGAGCCAUUUCCUCUUCCUCAGGACUUUUAAUGACCUUUUCUUGCUCUACCGAGAGAUCAUAUUGCGGAGGUUGAGUGAACGAGUACGAGGUCACAUAUAUUAUUACUGGUAGAAGUUGUGGACCCUGAAAGAUGAACAUUGGAGGCGGUGUUCUUGAAGCCAGUGCCUGGCGGCGAACCACAGAAGGCAUGCUAGGAUCAUUGGAGGGCAUUGGAGGGUGCCUGCAUGGGAUGAGCGGGUUGGGCACAGGGGCGUUGGUAACCUCGCCUGACUCGGGGAUCAAUUCAGGUAACUCAGGAAUUGCUCUUGGCGGUUUCCUACCUUGGGACCAGGCGACCAACAUUUCCAAUAUGCGGAGAUGCAACAUCUUAUUCUCUUCAGCAGCUACUGAUUCUAGCUACAGAAUAACCAAUGUCGGGCUAUCCUCAGGACCGAUGAUUGGUAGAUUACUUGCGGAGGCCAUCUAUGCCUUUGGAUCUUGUGAAGGAGGGGAGUCUAGACUACCAACAAAACAAACCACCAAAACCUGGCUUGUUUGCACACCCAAUAACCUUAUUAAUUUUGAGACAUUUAACAUAUAAGAAAUCACACGUUGGGAUACAAUGCAUCCAAUAGUUAAACGCUUCUACCAUGUAUUUGAACGAUUGCAUGUUUCAUCCCGGCCUUAACUAACUCUUUCAGUACGUACCUCUUUUCUUUUAUUUCUGCCUUUCUUUAAUCCCUCUUGAUUUUUUUUCUUCAUUUCGUUUCUGUUGCUCUUUUAUUUUUUGGCACUCUUUUUUUCUCUUUUUGUUUGUCACUCUUUUUUUUUCUUUUUUUUUUCACUCAAAUUUUCUUUCUCUUUUUUUUUUCAGUUUAUUUUUCAUUCAAUUAAUUUUAUGGCUAUGAUCGAAUUCGAUAGGGAUUGCCCACGUAUCAUGACGCCGCAUGAAACAAAUCUUGCGUAGUUCGGGAAGAUGGAGUAAAUAAGCAAACUCUUUUUUUUUACUUUUUAUAAAACUCAGACCAUGAAAGCUUUAAGACAAAAGAAAAAUGUAUUUUUUUGAAUUUUUUUUUUUGGAAUUUUCGAAAGAAAUUCUUUAAAAGAAGAAAGCAAAUAUUAUUUGAAUUUUGAUUUUGAUUUUUUCUUUUCUUUUUUGAAAAAAAGACUUCUAAAAAUUCUUUUUCUUUUGAUUUGAACUAUGGGAAUUUCAGAAGUAACAGGAAAAUAUUUUUUGUUUGAAUUUUCAUUUGUUAUUUCAUUUUCUAAAGAAGAAAGAAAAUAUUUUUUGGAUUUAGAAUGUUGCCUCUUAAUUUUCGAAAGAGGAAAUUUUAAGAAAAUAUUUUGGAUUUAUGAGUUUUAUUGUUUUUAAAUUUACAAAGGUACUUCUAAAGAAAAACGAAAAUACUUUUGGAUUUCAAUUUUUUUAAUUUUUGUUGACAUUCACGAAAGAAAAACUUUUAAUCAAGGAAAAGAUUUUUUUUGCUGAUUUUGUUUUUGAAUUUUUGGGAAAAAUACUUCAAUAUAAAGGAAACCCGUAUUUUGGAUUUUUAUUUCCUCUUCUUUUUCCGUAAGAAAGACUUCAGAAAUAAGGAAACUAUUUUUUGAGCUUAAAAAUCCUUUAUUUUUAAUUUUUCUAUGGAAAUGCUUCUAGAAUAGGAAUUAAAGGAAAAUAUUUUUGGAUUUGUUUUAAAAUUGGGGUCGGAACCGAUGAAGUUUGCCUACGUAUCUCACAUCUGAUGAGAAUCAGACUCGCGUAGUUCGGUCUUUUUUGAUGGAACAGGGGAAACAUGGCACUUGAAAUUUUGGCUCAUUUUGAAAUGAAUUAUCUUUUUUCAGAAUUCGACAAAGUUUCAGAAUUUUCUAAAUACCCACCUCUCAUUUUUUUUGAUUUUCUUUUUCAUCAUUUUUUUAUUUUCUUUCCCUAUUCUAGAAGCCGGUCAACAUGCAAGCCGAAACAAACAGAUGUGCUAGUAGCACGUAGGAUGCAUCAGGAUGGUCUUUUUAAUUUGGGUACACCUGUCCUAGANNNNNNNNNNNNNNNNNNNNNNNNNNNNNNNNNNNNNNNNNNNNNNNNNNNNNNNNNNNNNNNNNNNNNNNNNNNNNNNNNNNNNNNNNNNNNNNNNNNNNNNNNNNNNNNNNNNNNNNNNNNNNNNNNNNNCGGACCCAACUCCUGUGUUGAGUCCCCAAAGUCAGAUGCCCGUAAUGCAAACAAACGUACGUACUAGGGAUCCGGCAUGCGGCUAUGUUAUUCUAGGUUUAAAACCUGGGUGUAUUGUUCUAAACCUGGCUUACCCAAGCGGACAACUCGAGCCGAGGAGGGCAGCGUACCGAUAAUACAGAAGCUUUACUGGCUAUGCAACUUGUCCGAACCUCAUUCUAAAAUUGGGAUAAUGACUCUAACAGAAAAGAAGUUACACGAAGUGCACACUUCCCAUAUGAUUUAGAAGACUCAGAGAGAAGAGGGUUCCAUAACAAUUUAUAUACAGUCCGAACAAUAUCAAAGCAGUAAAAAGUGACAUCUAGCACAUUAGGCUCAAACAUAUAAAAAUAAAAUAAUAAAUAAAGCCAACUAUAACAGUUAUUCUAAGCUCGAAUUCUUUGAACCCUGAACCAAAAGUUCUGGGUUAUGAAUCCCCAGCAGAGUCGCCAGAGCUGUCACACCUCCUGUUUAACUGCCUGAGGGCAGAUAUAAGGAAGUUUUUCCAAUUAAAGUGACAUUUAUCGAAAUGGGAUUAUUUUAUUUAAUUUUUCAGAGUUUCCACUUGGGAUAAUUAUUUUGGUGUCCCAAGUCACCGAUUUAUUUUAAAUCCCAAAUCGAGAAAAAAUUGACUUUACUUAAAAGUCUGUGAAACCAGAAAUUCUAAGUAAGGAAUUAUGUUAACAAGGGAGAAGGUGUUAGGCAUUCCCGGAUUCCGUGGUUCGAGCACGGUUGCUUAAACUAUUAAAAUUGGCCUAAUUAUGAUUAUUACAUGUUUUAAACCUAUUGUGCAUUUUUAACUUUAUAACCGCUUUACGGCUUUUUAGGAUCUAUGAAAUUAUUUUUUGAACGAGUUACGAUUGUCGUACACUUGCUAUUUUGGAACACACCGCAAACCACGCUUCAUGAUAUGCGCCCGCGAUUCGCGAUAUGUUUAUUUUAUUAUUAUUCGAAGUUAUUAUGAUCGGGUCACAUGAAAUGCACACCCGAAUUGGGGAUUAUGUAUCGUGACCAUGCCACAGGAACCGUACCCAUGGCCACGAUUAUUUAUUAAUUACUCCUAAAGCAAACUACGGUGUUCAUAAGUUGUAUCUGCUGCUCUAAAUUCACAUGACAUUAUAUUACCUCAAGUACUUUACCUUACUUUUAUUGCACAUAUUGAACUUCCAUAUGAUUGUAUCAAGUAUGAAUUUUUACUUCAAUUAUGCAAUCUAGAAAUAUGGAAAUGUGAACCAUAAGAUGCCACAUAUCCGAAUAUGAAAAUUCCUUAUUCAAACAAAUACACAUGCCAACCAGUUCAUAGUGAAAUAAAGGUAUAAUCCACCGGAAAAUCUACCAGAAAGACAUGAAGAAAAAAAAUGAAACGAUCUCAAAAUGCAAUUCAAAUGCAUUAAAGUUACAUGUGUGAGUGUUGGGGACUGACAUCAAAAGGUAAAAGAAUAAAGAGUAUUCAUGUUUAGUGUUGUCCAAUUCUAGUGAAUCAAAUCAUUAUAGAAUCUGCAACUGCAAUAGCUUCACACUAAAUGUCAUAUGUUCUAGCUCAACUACACAAUACUUACAUAUAUGAUUGACAUUGAGAAAUCAAGAAGAGACACAUCGGCCAUGUAUCAUAUUGAAUGAUCAUUCUUUUUAUUAACAUAAAAAAAUAAGUAAAUAGAAAAUACUUAUAAGUGGUAGACUAGAUCUUAACUUCUUAACCAUGAAUCAGUAUAAAAGAUCAAAAAUAUUUAAUCAAAAUAGAAAGUGAGCAAGCUUUAAAGUUUCGUUCCCAGGUGAGUUGAAAGAGAUCUCAAGAUUUUACAUAUCAAAUCUCUUCAUAACUUCAGACAUUCAAUACAAUAAAAAACUAAAUCCAAACAACCCAGAAUUGAUUUAUCUAAAGAACCUGACAAACACAUAUGAAAUCAACAAACAAUUAAGGGAAUAGGCUAACAACAUCCAGCCAUGAAACAUUCACACGAAUCAAAUGAUGUAUAUUUAAGAAAACUUUAUAGUAUAAGAAUAUCUAAACAACAACUACAUUCUAAAAUCAGAAUAGGUACCUCAACAACUCGAAAUAAACUUAGAGGAGCCAAAUAAAAGGGUAAAAGACAGAAAAUCGGAGCUCAACAACAGCAGAGUCAACAAAAUGCAGCUUCACUUUCUGAAAUCAAAAUCGAACUCGAUCGCCCAAAAACCCAAAUUUCAGCGACAAACAAUCCAAACAUAAGCUUGAGCAAUAAUUCCAAAUGUCAGCAUCUAAAACCUUUAUUUCUUUAUGAGAUCUAAUAGUGCUAACCAUAGUUCCUUACUAAUGAAAGGGGGUAUAUUAUGGAAAUUAGAGGUAUUUAAAUAUGGAGUAGAGGAUGAAAAUCGAUGGCUUGAUAUUUUUCUAUGGUUAUCGGUGAAAAUUUUUGUUCUCUUUAGCUGAUGCUCUUCAGCUCCUUGAGAUUUGUCGUUCUGUCUUGUAGAUGAGAGGUCCUUCUAUCUGAUGUAUUAGGUAUCCUUUUAUGUGAGGGAUUAGGGUAUAUAAAAUGGGAAAGGGAUA
rnacentral:lncRNA from 1 species